AAAAUUAAUCUAACAUUUAUUAUAAAUCAAUAUUUAAAUUAUUGUCCCUAAAAACCGGGCAUUCCAUGAAUUUAUAAAUAAGUGCCAGUACAAUAUUUAAAAUACAAAAAAAAACAUUUCCAUGGGGGAAAAAACGGUUGGUAACCUUAAAUAACUCCAGAGAAAGAGUGGAUAUUAGACCUCAUAAAAUUUGCCUUUUUUCACCAAAUGUAUCCAAACUAAUAUUAUUCCAAUUCAACAAGGUCUGAACUAACUAACUAUAAAAAUAACUUUGAUUUUGGAUAUGACUGCUGCAAGAGCCGUUUAGCUUUAUUUCUGAUUUUUUUAAUGCUGCAAAAUUCGUGAUAUGAUGCAUUUGUUUUGAUUGUAGCUACUCAGAAGUUGGACCCAUUGCAUUGAAAGUGGUACUAAAUGAAAACUAAGUUUUCUUGAAUAUGAAAUUUUUCAAACUAAUAUUUGUUAAAAUUUAAACUAUUUUUAAUGUACAUAUAUACAAUUAUCUUUUUUUUUUUUUGAUCAGACAGGAUGUCACUAUAUAUGUAUUGUCACUGUUCAAUGUUGCUUUCUUGGAAUUGUCUAAUUUGUUCUUUUGAUACUCUACAAUUUUAGUAAGCAAUGUGUCUACUCUGGCUCAGUUAUAAUUCGAGUUGGGAAGUCACUCAUCAGUUUCACACCACUAUUAGCCACGUCAUAGAUCACUUUGACUUCACAUACAAACUUCUGCUCUUUCUUUUAGGUGUCAUCAUCAUCCUAGGUGUCUGUAGAAGUAAUAAGCUGGUCAGAUGUAUUACACAUGUUUCGUAGAGAUGGGGACUCAACUAAAAAUGUAUAAUUGGUGGAGGGCUUUGGCAUUUUAAAGUUUGGAUAACCCUUAUUUUGCUAACUGACAGAGGAUUUCGGGCCUUUUCUGUUUUUUUAUAGAGGAAAGUAUGCAUAAUACAAUAAAGGAAAAAUAAUCGUAUAAUCUAUUUUUGUAUUCAUCACACAUUUGCUCAUAUUCUACGUCGAUCAAACGAAUUAUCAAUUAUGUUUUCGUCAAAAUGGACAAUAGGAAUAGUAUUUAACCGGCGUAGUGAGAUGCUGACAAUUCCAUGGACUGUGCCAAUAUCUGAUCAAGGAUUAAUUCUUCUUUCCCGUUUUACAACAAGAACAGACUAUGGAGGCUCUCUAAUUUAUCAAAUUUGUACUUAAGUAUAUGGUCUUGCAGCAAAAGAUUAGAUUCAUAACCAUAUUGAUACUGGAAGUUGAAUAUGCCAAAUAAUUAUCAUAGGUUUACAAAAUUGAGCUAAUAUGGAUGUUGAAGAAUAAAAUUGGCUUCGUUAAAUUAAUGUUGAUCUGUUCCAUAAUUUAGUUAUCAAGAAUUUAUCGAAUACACUGUUACCAUAUUCAAUGACUCAUUUAAGAUCA
rnacentral:lncRNA from 1 species